GGGGGUGUAAAGGUUUCGACGGGGGUGUAGAAGCCGGAUAAGCGAGCGGUAGUUGGCUCAGACUACCUUAAAAAGGGCCCGUUAAAAAUAAACGCUAAAAAGAACAACAAUUUCGCAUUAGCAGCUUAGUCUGCAGCGCCUAGGAGCGCACGCGCGUCGGCCACAGCUUACCCGUAGACUGUGAUCCCGGCGUCGACUAUACGGGAAAACCUGCUGAGAGUUCUCGGUAUCAGCAGGGAACAACGAGAUAGCGGACGCGGCAGCCUGUUAAUGGGCGGCCGCCGAUGCGAAACACUAAAUCAUUAACUGCGCUCGGAGAAAUUCCUGUGGAAAUGCUUUCGGACAUGGGUUCGACUCCCAUCACUUCCACCA
rnacentral:tmRNA from 1 species